AGAUGCGUACAGCCUCUGCGCGUGGCGGCCCUCGGGCUGCCCCGCGCACGCCUUGCAUCCUCGAUAUUACAGCACCUUGCGUUCUCCUUCGGCGGGUCAGCCCGCCGUUGGAACCGUGACACUCACCUCUUGCAUGCAGAAAUAACCGUUCCGAAACAAACAAUCGUUA
rnacentral:misc_RNA from 1 species